UAGGUUUUAUUUUAAGUAGAAUAACUAGUUGUUACCUAGUAGGUGUGAAGUUUCGCAAACCUAA
rnacentral:tRNA from 1 species